GGGCCCGCACAAGCGGUGGAGCAUGUGGCUUAAUUCGAUGCAACGCGAAGAACCUUACCCAGGCUUGACAUGCACAGGAAAGUCCGGUGAAAGCCGGAGCCCUUUUCGGAGUCUGUGCACAGGUGCUGCAUGGCUGUCGUCAGCUCGUGUCGUGAGAUGUUCGGUUAAGUCCGGUAACGAGCGCAACCCUUGUCCUUAGUUGCCAGCGAGUAAUGUCGGGAACUCUAGGGAGACAACCUCCUAUGGAGGGGGAAGGUGGGGAUGACGUCAAGUCAGCAUGGCCCUUACGCCUGGGGCUGCACACGUGCUACAAUGCCCAGUACAAUGAGAUGCAAACCCGCGAGGGGGAGCCAAACUAUAAAACUGGGCCCAGUUCGGAUUGGAGUCUGCAAUUCGACUCCAUGAAGUUGGAAUCGCUAGUAAUCGGAGAUCAGCAUGCUC
rnacentral:rRNA from 1 species